CCUACGGGAGGCAGCAGUGGGGAAUUUUGCACAAUGCGGGAAAGCCUGAUGCAGCAACGCCGCGUGAAGGAAGACGGUUUUCGGAUUGUAAACUUCUGUUCUUAGUGAAGAAUAAUGAUGGUAGCAAAGGAGCAAGCAUCGGCUAACUACGUGCCAGCAGCCGCGGUAAUACGCAGGGGGCAAGCGUUGGUCGGACUUACUGGGUGUAAAGGGAACGGAGGGGGGGAGCCAAGUCAGCUGUUAAAGACUAGUGCUUAACUUUAGGACUGCAGUUGAUACUAGAUUUAUUGAGUCAAGUAGAGGAUGGCAGAAUUCCUGGUGUAGCGGUGAAAUGCGUAGAUAUUAGGAGGAACACCGGUGGCGAAGGCGGCCAACUGG
rnacentral:rRNA from 1 species